rnacentral:sRNA from 1 species
GCCGGGGACUCAUAGGAGACUGCCGGGGACAACUCGGAGGAAGGCGGGGACGACGUCAAGUCAUCAUGCCCCUUAUGUUCAGGGCUGCACGCAUGCUACAAUGGGCGGUACAACGGGCUGCGAUCCCGCGAGGGUGAGCGAACCCUCAAAACCGUCCUCAGUUCGGAUUGGAGUCUGCAACUCGACUCCAUGAAGCCGGAGUCGCUAGUAAUCGCGAAUCAGCAAUGUCGCGGUGAAUACGUUCUCGGGGCUUGUACACACCGCCCGUCACAUCACGGAAGUCGGUAACGCCCGAAGUCAGUGGCCUAACCUUUUUGGAGGGAGCUGCCGAAGGUGGGAUCGGCGACUGGGAUGAAGUCGUAACAAGGUAGCCGUACGGGAACGUGCGGCUGGAUCACCUCCUUUCUAA